CCCUUAGAUGUUCUGGGCCGCACGCGCGCUACACUGAUGCAUUCAACGAGUCUAAAACCUGCUCUGAUAGGGGUGGGUAAUCUUUUGAAUGUGCAUCGUGAUUGGGAUAGAUGAUUGCAAUUUUUCAUCUUCAACGAGGAAUGCCUAGUAAACGCAAGUCAUCAGCUUGCGUUGAUUACGUCCCUGCCCUUUGUACACACCGCCCGUCGCUCCUACCGAUUGAAUGAUCCGAUGAAUAUCAUGGAUUGAGGAUGCAAGCAGGUUCGCCUGUCUUCAUCUUCGAGAAGUGAAGUAAAUCUUAUCAUUUAGAGGAAGGAGAAGUCGUAACA
rnacentral:rRNA from 1 species